rnacentral:rRNA from 1 species
UACGUAGGGUGCAAGCGUUAAUCGGAAUUACUGGGCGUAAAGCGUGCGCAGGCGGUUAUAUAAGACAGUUGUGAAAUCCCCGGGCUCAACCUGGGAACUGCAUCUGUGACUGUAUAGCUAGAGUACGGGUAGAGGGGGAUGGAAUUCCGCGUGUAGCAGUGAAAUGCGUAGAUAUGCGGAGGAACACCGAUGGCGAAGGCAAUCCCCUGGACCUGUACUGACGCUCAUGCACGAAAGCGUGGGGAGCAAACAGG